GUGAGGAUGUAUGAUGCGCAUGAGUCGCUAUUAUUAGAGGACAGUGCACGUGUACUUCAAAUGUGACAAUAAAACCGUGGUCAGACUGAGCUCCGGCACUGCAAUAAGAGAAUCAGGUCAUCCAGAGAGCGAGCCAGGCUGAGACGUUUGGAGCGUCCAAAUGACCGUCUGGCUGAUGAGCGCGGGAGUGGAGGGAAGCCCAUGGUUAGACCACGAAACCGACCGCCCUGAGGAGAUGAAUAAACAAACGUUCAGGACACAUGUUAUAUGUAACACAGAACAUACAGCUGAGGGUAGCAGUCAGUCAGAGAAGCAAGCUGGUGGUGAAGAUGAUAUUCUAAUCUUAAGUGUAAAAAAGGUUGUUGACCCACUUCAUAGGGUCCUACAUGAAAAAUAAAACUAAGUUUAUGCGUAUGCUU